GAGGGCCAACUUUUACUAUUUUUCAUGGGUUGCUAUCAGAGCAAUCACUCCGUCACCUCUAUUAUGAGCAUGAACCUGUCCUGCUGUCCUAUAAGGCGAUUUUCUUUCUUUUCUAUUCUUUUUUCCUCUUCCAAGUUCCUCUAACAUGCCGUAGCCGUCUACCUUCUCAUGCACCCAUCCAUUUAUAUUUGAAAACUCAUUUGAAAAUGUAUAAUUAAGUUGGAAGACGUUUGUACGUACGUUUGUGCUUAGAAGUUAGAACUCACACGAGCAGAUGCAGCAGAUAUACGUAUGACAGAAAUUUACAAAGAAGACAAAUUCAAACCAAUAAAAAACCAAACCUCCUUUGAAAACACCAAAACUUUACCUGAUAAUGUCUAAAGAAGAAUCUUAUCUUUUGAAACUGUGGCCUCAAUAUCUCUAAAGCAAGGAGCUCUAGCUAGCCACACAAAGCAGAAGCAUCAUCUUUCUCAAGAAAACUACGAAAAAAACUUGGACCUGUCCUCUAGCGAGCGGUUGAGGAAAAAGAGGUUAAAAUUUUACGCAUGUGAACACAAUAAUACUAGAUAACAGUUCUAAAUGUUAGUAGCGCGCGAGCAUCACCCCUAUCUUUUGAACAAAGGAAGGUACAAAGUACCUCACGGCUCACAGGUCUCGCUUAUGCUGAGCUUAUCAUGGAGCAACUGAAACCCAUCUCAAAUGCGUGAUUCUUGAAACUAUUUUGUGGUAGACGCCAAGACUCGAGCGUCAGCUGAUGCAUGCUGGUAGCAACCCAGAAUAUUCCUUUCUUAGUGAGAUGGAUACUUCUCUCUCCAAAAGGAAAUAAGGCAAACAAAAGAGGAAAUAGAGAGAAACGAAUCAGAAUCUGCAUGGCCUGAUCUACAACUAUUGGUGCAGGUUAUGAAGUACUCAUGAGCUCCUGGACAUGAAUAUCAGAAACAACAUCGGCAUUCUAUCAUCAAAUUUGUCGCUAAUAUGGAGUGAGCGAGCUUCGGAGGUUACCAUUUUUGUUUUGUUUGUGACAUGUUCUUAUUUGUUAGAGAACUUCUGUUUUUCGAUCUAGAUUUUCAGAUUCCCAAUCCCACUUGUUAACAUGACAUGCAUACUGGAGAUGACAAUUAGAUUUAAGAU